rnacentral:lncRNA from 1 species
AUGGUGUCCAGAGGAUUUUCUAAAUGCAUUAAACCGAAUAGUUCAACACCACGGACAGCGACUGCACCUGUCUGGAUGAAGGUCUGUGAUGAGACGUGUACGACCUUUUUCAGAACCAUGGACAGUACCACAAGCUUCAAGUUCAACGCCAUUAUACUGUAAUCCACACUAAAGCACCAUAAUGUGUUAUUUGAAACCUCAAAAUGCAACCUCCACAUGAAGAGUAUCAAAAAUUAAUUAAAAUGAAAAUAAAUGUUUGUCUUCACAUUUUAAUAGGUCUG